UUGGACCGCCAUUUUGACAGCGAAAGAGAAAAUAAUAAUUAACAAAUGUGGAUUUAUGAAGAGUGUUAUGUUCCGGAAUACCCCCAGAAAGAAAUCACGCAUUAGAAGAAGGGAGAAGUACUACAGGAGAAAAUGACUUUUUUUAGUAUUUUUUUUAAUUUCAUUGAAUUUGUCAUGCUUGUCUUACAUGGAGAAAUAAAUAUUUAAGUCUUUGAA